rnacentral:rRNA from 1 species
GGUGUAGUGCGAUGUGGAGACGGAGAAGGUUAACUCAGCCAACUGUUGGAUAUGUUGGUUCAAGCUUGUAGUCGUGCCUGGUAGGUAAAUCCGCCGGGCUUAGAUGAGGAGUGAUAACGAGGCUGCUUGCAGCCGAAGUGAGUGAUACCCUGCUUCCAGGAAAAGCCACUAAGCUUCAGCUAUACACGACCGUACCGCAAACCGACACUGGUGCGCGAGAUGAGUAUUCUAAGGCGCUUGAGAGAACUCAGGAGAAGGAACUCGGCAAAUUGACACCGUAACUUCGGAAGAAGGUGUGCCUUUAGUAGGUGAAGGGAUUUACUCCUGGAGCCCAAUGAGGUUGCAAAAAAUCGGUGGCUGCGACUGUUUAUUAAAAACACAGCACUCUGCAAACACGAAAGUGGACGUAUAGGGUGUGACGCCUGCCCGGUGCUGGAAGAUUAAAUGAUGGGGUGCAAGCUCUUGAUUGAAGUCCCAGUAAACGGCGGCCGUAACGAUAACGGUCCUAAGGUAGCGAAAUUCCUUGUCGGGUAAGUUCCGACCUGCACGAAUGGCGUAACGAUGGCCACACUGUCUCCUCCUGAGACUCAGCGAAGUUGAAAUGUUUGUGUUGAUGCAAUCUCCCCGCGGAAAGACGGAAAGACCCCAUGAACCUUUACUGUAGCUUUGUAUUGGACUCUGAACAGAUCUGUGUAGGAUAGGUGGGAGGCUUUGAAGCAGGGUCGCUAGAUCUUGUGGAGCCAACGUUGAAAUACCACCCUGGUGUGUUUGAGGUUCUAACCUAGGUCCAUUAUCUGGAUCGGGGACAGUGCAUGGUAGGCAGUUUGACUGGGGCGGUCUCCUCCCAAAGCGUAACGGAGGAGUUCGAAGGUACGCUAGUUACGGUCGGACAUCGUGACGAUAGUGCAAUGGCAUAAGCGUGCUUAACUGCGAGACUGACAAGUCGAGCAGAUGCGAAAGCAGGACAUAGUGAUCCGGUGGUUCUGUAUGGAAGGGCCAUCGCUCAACGGAUAAAAGGUACUCUGGGGAUAACAGGCUGAUACCGCCCAAGAGUUCAUAUCGACGGCGGUGUUUGGCACCUCGAUGUCGGCUCAUCUCAUCCUGGGGCUGUAGCCGGUCCCAAGGGUAUGGCUGUUCGCCAUUUAAAGAGGUACGUGAGCUGGGUUUAAAACGUCGUGAGACAGUUUGGUCCCUAUCUUCCGUGGGCGCUGCAGAUUUGAGGAAGCCUGCUCCUAGUACGAGAGGACCGGAGUGGACACACCUCUGGUGUAUCGGUUGUCACGCCAGUGGCAUUGCCGAGUAGCUAAGUGUGGAAGAGAUAACCGCUGAAAGCAUCUAAGCGGGAAACUCGUUUCAAGAUGAGAUCUGCCGGGGCCUUGAGCCCCCUAAAGAGUCGUUCAAGACCAGGACGUUGAUAGGCAGGGUGUGGAAGCGCAGUAAUGCGUUAAGCUAACCUGUACUAAUUGCUCGUGCGGCUUGACCG